rnacentral:rRNA from 1 species
CUACGGGUGGCACCAGUGGGGAAUUUUGCGCAAUGGGCGAAAGCCUGACGCAGCAAUACCGCGUGAGUGAAGAAGGCCUUUGGGUCGUAAAGCUCUUUUCUGGGGGAAGAUAGUGACGGUACCCCAGGAAUAAGCACCGGCUAACUCCGUGCCAGCAGCCGCGGUAAUACGGAGGGUGCAAGCGUUGUUCGGAUUUACUGGGCGUAAAGGGCACGUAGGCGGCACAGCAAGUUAAGGGUGAAAUCCCGGGGCUCAACUCCGGAACUGCUCUUAAAACUGCUGAGCUAGAGAUGGUCAGAGGCGGGUAGAAUUCCUGGUGUAGAGGUGAAAUUCGUAGAUAUCAGGAGGAAUACCGGUGGCGAAGGCGGCCCGCUGGGGCCAUUCUGACGCUAAGGUGCGAAAGCGUGGGGAGCGAACGGGAUUAGAUACCCCGGUAGUC